GAGACAAAGUGAUAGGUGAGACAUGGAUUUGCUUAGAGAGCAGCACACUCCGCGGAACGCCGGCCUUCUUAGAGGGCUGGAAUAGCCCCAGGGUACGCCUUGUCUGUUUUUCUAGGCAAGAGCAGUCACCUCCACAGAAGGUCUGAGAAUCCUGGGGCUCCUACGCUUUCCACCAGAACUGGAGAGAUGUCGGCUGCCAACACUUGAAGCAGAAAGAGCCAGAAGACCUAGCUGCUGCCAAAGGGGCACCGAUUUCCUCACAUGUGAGUGUCCACCCCCCUGGUGUGGCUGCUCUUGACACCCGCCUUGCACUGGCCUUCCAU
rnacentral:lncRNA from 1 species